CAGCAGCCGCGGGAACACGUAGGUGGCAAGCGUUGUCCGGAAUUAUUGGGCGUAAAGGGCUCGCAGGCGGUCAAUUAAGUCUGAUGUGAAAGCCCCCGGCUCAACCGGGGAGGGUCAUUGGAAACUGGUUGACUUGAGUGCAGAAGAGGAGAGUGGAAUUCCAUGUGUAGCGGUGAAAUGCGUAGAUAUAUGGAGGAACACCAGUGGCGAAGGCGACUCUCUGGUCUGUAACUGACGCUGAGGCUCGAAAGCGUGGGUAGCAAACAGGAUUAGAUACCCCAGUAGUCCCUGUCUCUUAUAU
rnacentral:rRNA from 1 species